GAUGAACGCUGGCGGCAUGGAUAAGGCAUGCAAGUCGAAAGGGUUUAGGCCCUUGGCAAACGGGUUAGUAAUACAUAGGAAUCUGCCCUGAAGUCGUGGAUAAUCCGGAGAAAUCCGGAACAAUACACGAUAUGCUCUACGGAGUAAAGAUUUAUCGCUUCAGGAGGAGCCUGUGUCCUAUCAGCUAGUUGGUAAGGUAAAAGCUUACCAAGGCUAUGACGGGUAGGGGUGUGAGAGCAUGGCCCCCAACAUUGGAACUGAGACACUGUCCAAACACCUACGGGUGGCUGCAGUCGAGAAUAUUGUCAAUGCGCGAAAGCGUGAACAAGCAAUGCCGCGUGCAGGAUGAAGGCUUUC
rnacentral:rRNA from 1 species